AUUGAACGCUGGCGGCAGGCCUAACACAUGCAAGUCGAGCGGGGUUUUCGGACCUAGCGGCGGACGGGUGAGUAAUGCGUAGGAAGCUACCCGAUAGAGGGGGAUACCAGUUGGAAACGACUGUUAAUACCGCAUAAUGUCUACGGACCAAAGUGUGGGACCUCCGGGCCACAUGCUAUCGGAUGCGCCUACGUGGGAUUAGCUAGUUGGUGGGGUAAUGGCUCACCAAGGCGACGAUCACUAGCUGGUUUGAGAGGAUGAUCAGCCACACUGGAACUGAGACACGGUCCAGACUCCUACGGGAGGCAGCAGUGGGGAAUAUUGGACAAUGGGCGCAAGCCUGAUCCAGCCAUGCCGCGUGUGUGAAGAAGGCCUUCGGGUUGUAAAGCACCUUCAGUAGGGAGGAAGGGUGUUGUGUUAAUAGCACAGCAUUUUGACGUUACCUACAGAAGAAGCACCGGCUAACUCUGUGCCAGCCGCCGCAGUAAUAC
rnacentral:rRNA from 1 species